AACGAGUUCGAGGUGAUACAAAAUUAUCGCUUAUCGACUCGCGACAUAUAUUCGCUGUACGCUCUGUUGGAGGCCGACUUGGAACCUCGGGCACGGACAAAUCGUGCAAUCAGCGGUUUUCAGAAACUGCUGGGGACGUUACAUUUUUUGGCGUCAGGCACAUUCCAGCCUACACUGUCUCAAACAUGCGGUUUUUCACAGUCGACACUGUUGCGCUGUAUAACCCAGGUCAUUAGGGCUUUCCGCAAAUUGACGAUCCAGUACAUCACAUUUCCAGAGACGGACAGCGAAUGUCGUGAGAUCAAAUUAGGCUUUUUCAACAAAUACAAAUUUCCCAAUGUGCUGGGCGCGAUUGACUGUACCCACGUGCAGAUCAGACCGCCACGGAAUUCAGAGGAAUGUUUUCGGAACCGAAAACAGUUCCAUUCCCUGAACGUUCAGGCGGUCUGUGAUGUAAACAUGAGAUUUUUGAACAUUUUUGUGGGAUUUCCUGGAUCAUCUCACGACUCCUUCAUCCUAAGCCAGUCAUCACUGUUUGACAAGUUCGAAACAGGAAACAUGCCUGGUGGCUGGCUGUUAGGCGAUGCGGGUUAUCCAAACAAACCGUGGCUGUUGACCCCAUUGUCUAAUCCUGUUGGUAGAGCAGAAAAACGUUACCAAGAGACACACAUUGCAUCGAGGCAAAUAAUUGAACGUGCCUUCGGUGUACUUAAAAGCCGGUUUCGAUGUUUAGACACUUCCGGCGGUGCUCUUUUGUACUCACCGUCGAAGGUUUGCGGCAUGGUAAAUGCAUGUUGUAUUUUACACAACAUAUGUGUCGCAAACCGUUUGCCGGUGACUCUUCGUCGCAGUGCUUUCCGACGCGGGAACCGGUCUUCUGCUCUACCGGUGGGUAUGGACGAAGGAGAGGAUUCCCGGCGGACAUUGAUCCAAAAUUAUUUUGCAGUUGCCUAGUUUUACAUCCUGUUGAUGUAUAUCCCCAGGCCAUGUUUGUACAGUUCGUUACCCCGUUUUAUCCUGUUGUUGGGUUACCGCAAAUAUUUGAUCCUUUUAUCCAACUCUACCAUGGGUGACCCUACUGGUGAUGUGGACCUGACCCUCCGCCAUGUAGCAGACAACCCCCCCUCAGGUCCUGCGAUGUAUCUUCCCAAGUGGCGUGGAUGUGAGGAGACACGACAUUUCACCUGAUGUUCCAUGGGUGACCCUACUGGUGAUGUGGACCUGACCCUCCGCCAUGUAGCAGACAACCCCCCUCAGGUGAGAUGUAUUGCCCAAGACUCCCUUGUCCAAAAUCACCCCGGCAUGUCCAAAGUG